rnacentral:rRNA from 1 species
UACAGAGGGUGCAAGCGUUAGUCGGAAUUACUGGGCGUAAAGGGCGCGUAGGUGGUUGCGUAAGUGAGAUGUGAAAGCCCCGGGCUUAACCUGGGAAUUGCAUCUUAUACUGCGUAACUGGAGUGCAAUAGAGGGUAGUGGAAUUUCCGGUGUAGCGGUGAAAUGCGUAGAUAUCGGAAGGAACACCAGUGGCGAAGGCGGCUACCUGGAUUGACACUGACACUGAGGCGCGAGAGCGUGGGGAGCAAACAGG